ACGGGCGUAGCUCAGUCUGGUUAGAGCACUGGUCUCCAAAACCAGGUGUCGGGAGUUCGAAUCUCUCCGCCCGUGCAA
rnacentral:tRNA from 1 species